AGCGGCCGGGACGGAUCCAGGCGAGGCUUCUCCCGCCGCAUCUGCCAGCCCGGCACGGGGCCAGCGUGUUGUGGCUGUCAGCGCAAGGACGGCAGCCCAGACACACGUUUUCCCCGAAGCCUCCGCUCGAACACGGCCGCGGGAAGGGUUUGAGGUGGAUUUUCCCCCACACACACACAUUGCAAGAGGAAGGGGAAAAGAAGGGAAGAGAGCUGGCUUUGUCAGUCAGCUGGACUGGUAGCGUGGGAACUUCAGCACAGAGGAAGCUUUGAAUUCCAGCCAAGAUGCAGCAACUGUGUAAAACAUAAUUCCAUCAAGGAAAAACUGUCCCUAAGUUAGAAUUAAAGCCCAAACCCCAAACUAGCAACGGAUGCAGAAAAACGCAAGACUGGCUGUGAUGUUUCACCUUGAGAAUAAAAAUCAGAU